UGACUAAUUGUAUGCGACCACGGAUGUUAACGUCCGGCCAGAUUGCGUCUUGGGUUAUGACGCUCCUUUCACUUAUCGACUCUCCCGCUAGUCGCCUUGCCGUCUUUUUCCCUUCUCCCUCUCGUAAACAAACGCCGUGACACUCGUGACCGGGCAAAAGGACACGAUUGUGAGCUGUGCGGUGAGUGGGGGGGGCAGCAAAGUGUUACACAGUGGAAAAAAAAAGACGACAUGUAAGAGGAGGGCAAGGGAAAAGGUCAGCGUGUAAGAGAGAGGACUAAGCGAAAGUGCGGAGAGGCAGAUGGGACAUCCAGGAGUAUCCGAGAGCAUUAAUCAAACCUGUGGCGGUAUCUGGGUCCAGCAGUCAAAGGUCAGAUGACAUGAUUCCUUGACAUGACUUAUUACAGUUCUUGCCUUAAAGUUUUGUCUCAUUUACAUUAAAUUACUUCUUUCAUUUCGUAACUGACAACCGCGUCGGUAAUAGGUUGGCAUUCAGUACUCGGAAUGACAUGAACUAUCCAGUGAACAUUAUGAAACUUGAGGGGGAUUACCUUCCAGUGAUUUGACUUUCUAGUUAAAAUAUUACCAGGAACUGAGAUUUAAAUGUGAGAUAAGAUAAAUUAUGACAAAAGGAAUUAAGCUGGCCAACCCACAGCCAAAACAGGCACACGCACGCUCUUAUAAAUAUGCAUAUAAAGUCAAUGACGUUACAGCACACUCAAGAAUGAAAGCACGAAAGCACACCAAGAAAUGGAAAAUGUCACUCACUUACUUGCAAGAAAGCUGAUUUAUACCAUGUAUGAAGUAACAGUCACCGUCAUUCACACAGUAGGCUUUCUCUGUCUCGUUGCAUCUUCUGGCGUGACCUGAGCCCGGAGACAGUGUGGUGGUUACUGCAGGAGACAGGAGAGAAUGGAUAUCAGCUCCCGGGGCAGAACGUACCCCAGGGCAGCACACUGCAGCAGCGACGGAUUCAUAUGCACUGAGGAAUUAACGCCCCGCAGAGGCACCGGGAGAUAAAUACGGAAAGUAUUACAGUGGCUGUAAAGGUUUGCCAGGUUAUUGUUAGAAACGGCGGUGGGGAGGUUUUUGGACCCUUGCUGGGCAGCGCGUCGGAGACAGAUCAUCCUUCACCUGCAGUGGAGACACGGUGCUUACCAGCAAUGACAUCCAAACUGAUGCAGGUUUAUGUGUGAAAUCAGCACAAUCAGCCAGUGAAGGAAAGGCAAGAAGAGCACAGUCAUACAGUUCCAGGAGCCAGUGAUGGGGGACAGGAGUACCCACAAUGCUUUGAGGCAUUGACCGCUGUGCCAGGUGACGGCUCUAUGGCUUCUGCAAGUGAGUUUACCGUGCAGAGGGUGUGGUCUCAGGAGGGAGAGUCAGGUGACUAGGCUUGGAGUCUCAUUACUUCUGCCUGCAUCCAGUGACACUGUCCAAGGAAAAGGUACAACCCCCCAUGUCUGCCAGCCUGCUGCACACCACAGCAAACAGAAGCCCUCCUGCCUAGUUUCCAAUUCCUGUUUCCUUACAGUGCCCUGUCUGUUCCUGGGCCCAUAUCACACCUCACACAUACCCGCACAUGACGGUCCCGUCCGUGGCUGUAAGUCGCCGUCAACGUGAGCAUUUUCAAUAAAACGAAGCACUCUGUGAAUUGCCCUCUGAUGUACUCAGUCUCGGUGGAAUUACUUCACCGAGAUGAGCGAUAGCUCUUUUAACUGAAAGUCUAUAUUUUGGCCGCACAGAUAGAAAAAGGACAUCCUUGGACACCUGCUGUAGAUCAGCUGAGACAGAUGUUGAACUCUCCACCUAGAGCAGGCUGAUCAUAGACUGGGGCUUGCAAGCUUGCUGUUUUCUGCACUUCUUUUUUCCGUUUUCCCACCAUAAAUCUGCGAUUCGAUGACAUCAUGCCGAAACCUCUGUACCACAUGAGUGUGCUACUGGUUACACUCAAGGCAGAAUAACCUGAAGGGCAUCCAUUGUAAGCAUCGGAAUAAUCAUGUUUUAAUUUGACCGGCUUGUAACAAUACUACAUUUUUUCCUUUCAAAGCACAGCAAUUUAUAAUAAGCUCAAAUAAUGACAAAAUUAUUUAUAAAUCAUUCUAUAUAUAUAUAUAUAUAUAUAUAUAUAUAUAUAUAUAUAUAUAUAUAUAUAUAUAUAUAUAUAUAUAUAUAUAUGGCAGGAUUUUUGAAUAGGAUGCGUAUAGUGUGUAUCUCUUAAGUGAGUUUUACAUUUUAAAAACAUAAUUACAGAGGUCUGCAGUCACGACACCUGUGUAAAGCUGAAAUCGCCGAUAUCUUUAUUAGACUGACAGCUUACAGCCCAAAAUGAGGAUUUAUACGGUUCUCCUGUAGGCAGGAUGCUACUUCCAAAGCUUGAUUCAUAAAUAAACAUCAGUAAAUUGGUCUAUCAUUCAGGAACCUUCAACUAACAGCAUUCCGGUGUGCUCCUGUGAGGCGAACAUCCUGGGCAUCAAGAGUAGCUGUCCUGAAUUUUUUUUUUUUAAAAAUCGUGCAUUUUUUAACUAUAGAGUGAUAGCCCUUAGCGCAUUAACUGCAUAUACACUGUGUCAGAAGCCAAGCAUCCACGCGGCCUACAGGAAAAUAUGCAAAUCCCUCGAAACAGAAGGUGACAGGUCACGAUGAGUAAUACCCAAAAUGGGCACAUAAACAUCUCGCUGUUUCCUACCGACGGCACUCCAUAACCCCGGCGUUAUUUUCCAUUUACGUUCCGCGUUAUACUAAAUGCAAAUGCGAAUGCUGUGAUUAAUCUGGGAGCGAACCACUGGCAUGGGCAGAAUUUCACUUAAGCAAAUGCAACAUGUCAUUUAUUUAACCCGGCACUUCCUCCGCUCUGCUGUUUGUCAUAUAAUUCUAUUGACUUCAUAAAGGCAACUUCUUCUGUUUAUUCAGGCCGUGACAGCACACUGAAGUGCACAUGCACACUUGUUUUUCACGUUUAAAUGUACACUAUUGGUUCGGGGCUUGUGCAUUUUCCCAGAUUUUCUCUCUUUUUUUUUUUGUCGUCACCACCUGUAUGCCUGCAGAAAAACCCAGCUAAUAGCUGCUUUAUCUGUUCCCACCAAUUCCCACCAAAGCGCUUUGUUUCCUGUCACAGAUAAGUGCCCAAAUGGUGGACGGGCUCAGGCAGUAACUGACGGAGGCCCAUCGGAGUGGCGGAUCCACUUGAGGGCUAGCUAGCUGGCAGGCCGUGAUGUAUUUAAACUGCUCGUCUCUCAGUAGGAUAACGACGAUUUGUCCUGCUGCUGCGGGAUUCCCUGUCACGACUGAGUACGUCUUCAUUUGAUGCCACCUGUUUAAACGUACGCGAUAUGGCCAGAUGUUUCAUAUGGAUUCGAGUUUGAUGACCAUGUCCGUACGACAGACCGGAAGAGAAAUGCUACGCGCCAAGACCCCCGGUCUUCUGAACCUUACAUAAUAAUUACUUGGCACUCCGAAUUGCCAACGUUGGACUUACAACUCAAUCAGUCACUGAUGAUACAGGGGGCCAAAGCAUAGUGACGCCAGUGGUUUGCCAUCGUAAAUACGUGUGUGUGUGUGUGUGUGUGUGUGUGUUUAACAGGAGCAGCAGAGGUGCAGGCACUGAGGCAGCUGAGCGGUCACACUUGGCAUGAUUGAGAGGGAGUGCUGCUUGUCAAAGACGGUGCUUUGCACGGCCAUAUAAGCAAAUGGAAAUUUUUGCCGAGCCUCCGCCAGCUGCCCCCGAAGCCUCGAGAGAAUGACUCAGCCCUCAUU